AAAGAGACACGAAUCCAAAGAAUCCAAUACCCAAUCGCCAUGACAGGAAAAGCAAAGCCAAAGAAGCACACAGCGAAGGAGUUAGCUGCAAAGGCAGACGCAGCACUGACCAACAGGGGCGGAGGCAAAGCUGGGUUAGCCGAUAGGACUGGUAUCGAAAAGGGUGGACACGCCAAGCUGGAAUGCCCGCUCUGCAAAGUUACAGCACCUGAUAUCAAGUCUAUGAAGAUCCAUCACGAUGCUCGACAUCCUAAGAUUCCCU
rnacentral:lncRNA from 1 species